rnacentral:rRNA from 1 species
UACGUAGGGCGCGAGCGUUGUCCGGAAUUAUUGGGCGUAAAGAGCUCGUAGGUGGCUUGUCGCGUCUGCCGUGAAAGCUCAUGGCUUAACUGUGGGUCUGCGGUGGAUACGGGCUGGCUAGAGGUAGGCAGGGGCAAGCGGAAUUCCUGGUGUAGCGGUGAAAUGCGCAGAUAUCAGGAAGAACACCCGUGGCGAAGGCGGCUCUCUGGGACGGUACUGACGCUGAGACGCGAAAGCGUGGGGAGCGAACAGG